AUGUGUGCAGGCAAGCGAGAUGGUGGCAUGGGGUUUCGUGACCCUGAGGCCUUCAACCAAGCUUUGCUGGCUAAACAAGUGUGGAGAAUUCGACAGGUGCCAACAUCUCUUUGCGCAAGGGUGCUUAAAGCUCGUUAUUUUGAGGACGGUUCGAUCUUAUCUACAACAGCACCCCCCUCCGCGUCGUUCACCUUUAAAAGCAUUCUCCAUGGG
rnacentral:rRNA from 1 species